rnacentral:lncRNA from 1 species
CAUUUUAAUUCUCAACUUUUACUACUGCUAUAAAUAAAAUUUAUUAUUAUUAUAAUUUUUUCUUCAUUUUUUUUUUAUCCUUCUUGUACUUUUAUUUUUAUACUUUUAUUACAGCAACGACCGGUUCUUCUUUAUUUUUUUAUUUAUAUUUUUUUAAUUAUUUUUUACUAUUUUUUACCGUAGCUUUAUUUAUUUAUUUAUUUAUUUGCAAAAUGGAUUGAGAGAAGGCGGAUCGGCGUGUGGAAUGG